CAUAGUAUAAUGGCGGCGUGGUUUGGAAAGUGAAAAGAGGGAGUGUUUUUGUUCCGAUUUGUUUAUAUUCAUAUCUUCCAAUAUGAAAUUCUAAGUUCUGUGCGAUUUAUACGAUUUGUGUGUUUAUAAUUUUUAUCCUCGUGGCUUGUGUAUAGACUGUUUAACAUGUCAAAUCAUGAUUUUUGUGCGGUUAUGUUGAAUCGGAAGUAAAUUUUGCGAAAGUCGGAAAAGUUCUACCACUCUGACUAGGAGAGCAGCAAAAUGGUAACUGCUCAGGGUGGCAAUAUGGUCCAACGUUCCCGCCAGCUUGCCACGACCAUUCUUGUUAUCAUUUUGACUGCUGCGGCGCCGUUCACACAUGCUGCAGAAGGUGGCAACUUUUCCGACUUUCCGUUCAUUUACCUAACGCGUAAGUAUGCGUCAGAAACUCCGAGUGGCCAUAUGAGCCCUGCUUCCUUCUUCUUCCUCUCUGUAAAUUCUGGCGCUGCUUUGUUCGGGUUUAUCUU
rnacentral:lncRNA from 1 species